ACGAACGCUGGCGGCGUGCUUAACACAUGCAAGUCGAACGGAAAGGCCCUGCUUUUGUGGGGUGCUCGAGUGGCGAACGGGUGAGUAACACGUGAGUAACCUGCCCUUGACUUUGGGAUAACUUCAGGAAACUGGGGCUAAUACCGGAUAGGAGCUCCUGCUGCAUGGUGGGGGUUGGAAAGUUUCGGCGGUUGGGGAUGGACUCGCGGCUUAUCAGCUUGUUGGUGGGGUAGUGGCUUACCAAGGCUUUGACGGGUGGCCGGCCUUAGAGGGUGACCGGCCACAUUGGGACUGGGAUACGGCCCAGACUCCUACGGGAGGCAGCAGUGGGGAAUAUUGCACAAUGGGCGGAAGCCUGAUGCAGCAACGCCGCGUGCGGGAUGACGGCCUUCGGGUUGUAAACCGCUUUCGCCUGUGACGAAGCGUGAGUGACGGUAAUGGGUAAAGAAGCACCGGCUAACUACGUG
rnacentral:rRNA from 1 species